rnacentral:lncRNA from 1 species
AUGGUAAUUCACUCUCAACCAAACGAAAGAGCAUAUUGAACCAGCGUACUUAGCAGAUGGUCCGGAAAUUAAUUGCCUUAUGUGUUAUUUCAGAGGUAAAAUGUCUGCAGUCUUCGAACCACAUCUACAGACAUCUAUAGCAGAAGAUGUGAAUCAAACCUCUGCAGUCUGCAAGAAGAAGACUGUUUGUUUUUUUAACUUCUACAAGCUGUCGAAAUAAACUGAAAUUAAACUGAUUUAUCAAAAUAGUUGGGUAACGAAAAUUAACGAUAAAUAUCUGAAUACAAUAUAAUAAAAUAUUCAAAUGUAAUACAAAGAUCUAAGUUAUCUCCGAUAUAAUUAGCCUUUCGAAAAAAUAUCUCUAAUACAAUUAAAUACUUAUCAAAAGGGAAUAAAAGUUUGAGUCUUCUUGAUUUCUUCUAAAUUGUAUCUCAAAAUCUCACGAUCUCUAACCAUCAUCCCCAUGUUCAUGUCUUGUCAUCUAUAACUGUGAAGACCGGCCAAUUCAGGUCACAUUGUCACGAAAGAUGGGUAGAGUUUUAUGAAAUGCAUCUGAACCGAUCAUCAUCCUCCGAUGUAUCGGCAAUACCACUGCCGAACACAAAAGCAUUGCAACAAGUUAUACAAACCAAAACUCAAACAAAUAUUAGAAAUAUUAGUUGAAACAUUUUGUCACACCCCAACCGAUGGCGGAAACAUCGGGGCGCGGCACUAGGCAAACCAGAUUGCUCAAGAGAUCCAUAACAACUAUUUGUUACCAAAAUUUUUAAAGGUUAAUUGUCCCACACCAAUCAACAAUUAUUCAACAAGUAAUUAUUACAAAUAACGAGUUUCUCUCAAACAAAACAAGUCCGACAACCUAGAUUUCUAUUAGAUGAGUUUCUAGACUGCCUAUCUUGAUUCCAGCAAACAAAUCCAUCAACCUAUCACAUACGUUAAAAUAAAGUCAAUACAUAAAAUGUAAAGGUGAGUACACAAGUAUGUAUAGUAUAUAGUUAAGAAAGUGUUUUUACGCAUAACCAGCAUGUAUCACGUAACGGGCGAAAGCAAGUAACUAUCACACAAUGAUUACAACUUAGCCACGAGACUACGUUGUAGAGUAUGCGCGACACAUGUUCAGCGAACACGUGAAGUAAAGUGAUGUGAUCCCUAGCAACCCCUGUCCACCACAGGUGCUGAGUCCAAACUAUAGUACUAUCGUUGCUAGAGGCGGUAUCGUGUAACACUGUAUAAGCAUAGUAACAAGCAUUCAUGGGCGAUUAGCGUUGUAAAGUGUUUGUGUUGUGUGUUGUGUUUUGAUAUAGAACGUAUGUAACACCCAA